GACGAACGCUGGCGGCGUGCUUAACACAUGCAAGUCGAGCGGUAAGGCCCUUUCGGGGGUACACGAGCGGCGAACGGGUGAGUAACACGUGGGUGACCUGCCCUCAGCUCUGGGAUAAGCCUGGGAAACUGGGUCUAAUACUGGAUAUGACUCCACGGUGCAUGUCGUGGGGUGGAAAGCCUUGUGCGGCUGAGGAUGGGCCCGCGGCCUAUCAGCUUGUUGGUGGGGUGANGGCCUACCAAGGCGACGACGGGUAGCCGGCCUGAGAGGGCGACCGGCCACACUGGGACUGAGACACGGCCCAGACUCCUACGGGAGGCAGCAGUGGGGAAUCUUGCGCAAUGGGCGAAAGCCUGACGCAGCGACGCGCGU
rnacentral:rRNA from 1 species